rnacentral:rRNA from 1 species
CCUACGGGAGGCAGCAGUGAGGAAUAUUGGUCAAUGGACGCAAGUCUGAACCAGCCAUGCCGCGUGCAGGAAGACGGCUCUCUGAGUUGUAAACUGCUUUUGUACGAGGGUAAACGCAGAUACGCGUAUCUGUCUGAAAGUAUCGUACGAAUAAGGCUCGGCUAACUCCGUGCCAGCAGCCGCGGUAAUACGGAGGAUUCAAGCGUUAUCCGGAUUUAUUGGGUUUAAGGGGUGCGUAGGCGGUCGGAUAAGUUAGAGGUGAAAUCCCGAGGCUCAACUUCGGAAUUGCCUCUGAUACUGUUCGGCGAGAGAGUAGUUGCGGUAGGCGGAAUGUAUGGUGUAGCGGUGAAAUGCUUAGAGAGCAUACAGAACACCGAUUGCGAAGGCAGCUUACCAAGCUACUUCUGACGUUGAGGCACGAAAGCGUGGGGAGCAAACAGGAUUAGAUACCCGUGUAGUC